UUCAGUCUCAGGUUCCCUCCACUCGGCCCCUUUGCAGAGAAAAACGUGCCCCGGAAGACUGAAACAAGAUUCUCUCCGUUCACAGUCGCCAACACUGUAUGACAGUGAGAUUAUCAAGUCCAACCUCAGAAGUAUUAGGGUGGACAAGUCAAGCUCACCGGGGCUCUGGGAAGCCUUCUUCAAGCCUUACCCCUGACUUCCUUCGCUCUGCUUAGGUUCUCUCCUGGAGAAUUGCUAUUACUCGUUUCAGCCUAACCUGUUUUGUUGAUGGAAGUGCUGAUCAUCGCCUACAUGAUCAAGCAGUGAUACUCACUUGUUACAUCGAACCCUGAAAUGCUAAAAGGGAAUAUUACUACAAAUUAUACUGGGACGCAGUGGGAAACCGAGAAGAAUCUUUCUUACUGAAAG